rnacentral:rRNA from 1 species
GAUGAACGCUGGCGGCGUGCUUAACACAUGCAAGUCGAACGAAGCACUUUAUUUGAUUUCCUUCUGGCCUGAUUAUUUUGUGACUGAGUGGCGGACGGGUGAGUAACGCGUGGGUAACCUGCCUUUUACAGGGGGAUAACAUUUGGAAACGUCUGCUAAUACAGCAUAAGCGCCCAGCAUCGCAUGAUGCAGUGUGAAAAACUCCGGUGGUAUAAGCUGGACCCUCGUUGGAUUAGCUAGUUGGUGAGUUAACGGCCCACCAAGGCGACGAUCCAUAGCCGAGCUGAGAGGGUGACCGGCGACAUUGGGAGUGAGACACGGCCCAAACUCCUACGGGAGGCAGCAGUGCGGAAUAUUGCACCAUGGGCGAAAGCCUGAUGCAGCGACGCCGCGUGAGCGAAGAAGUAUGUCGGGAUGUAAAGCUCUAUCAGCAGGGAAGAUAAUGACGGUACCUGACUAAGAAGCACCGGCUAAAUACGUG